rnacentral:rRNA from 1 species
UGAGGAAUUUUCUGCAAUGGGCGAAAGCCUGACAGAGCAAUACCGCGUGAGGGAUGAAGACUUACUGAGUUGUAAACCUCGGUACCUUAAGGAAGAAGAUCUGACGGUACUUAAGGUGGAAAGCAUCGGCUAACUCCGUGCCAGCAGCCGCGGUAAGACGGGGGAUGCAAGUGUUAUCCGGAUUUACUGGGCGUAAAGCGUCUGCAGGUGGUUUCUUAAGUCUGCUGUUAAAUCUUGAGGCUCAACCUCAAAUCUGCAGUAGAAACUAGGAGACUUGAGUAUAGUAGGGGUAGAGGGAAUUUCCAGUGGAGCGGUGAAAUGCGUAGAUAUUGGAAAGAACACCGAUGGCGAAGGCACUCUACUGGGCUAUUACUGACACUCAGAGACGAAAGCUAGGGGAGCAAAUG